rnacentral:misc_RNA from 1 species
GUGAAUUUGUUGGAUCUUGUAUCCACACUCUCUCACUUUCUACCCUGUGAACUUAUUAUGAACGAUGGGAAACCGUCGCUCUUAUAUUACAAACAUUAGUAAAGUUGAAGAAUGUCUAUUAUAUAACCUAUAA